rnacentral:rRNA from 1 species
CCAAUAGCGUAUAUUAAAGUUGUUGCAGUUAAAAAGCUCGUAGUUGAAUUUCGGGAUCAAAUUGUCGGUCGUGCCUCGGUACGAACUGGUAUUAUUGGUUCCUACCUUCUGAAGAACCGCGAUGUCAUUAAUUUGGUGUCGUGGGGAAUCAGGACUGUUACUUUGAAAAAAUUAGAGUGUUUAAAGCAGGCUUACGCUUGAAUACAUUAGCAUGGAAUAAUGAAAUAGGACGUUUGAUUCUAUUUUGUUGGUUUCUAGGAUUGACGUAAUGAUUAAUAGGGAUAGUUGGGGGCAUUAGUAUUCAAUUGUCAGAGGUGAAAUUCUUGGAUUUAUUGAAGACUAACUACUGCGAAAGCAUUUGCCAAGGAUGUUUUCAUUAAUCAAGAACGAAAGUUAGGGGAUCGAAGACGAUCAGAUACCGUCGUAGUCUUAACCAUAAACUAUGCCGACUAGGGAUCGGAUGAUGUUAAUUUUUUAAUGACUCAUUCGGCGCCUUACG